GGUCUCUUUCGGGGAGCUAGGAGCACCGCAGGAGGAAGGGAAACUGGAAGGACAGAUGUUGGAGAAGAAACCUGGUGUAAAGGCCGGCUUCGUUAGGGAGUCCAGAGGAAAGCCUUGGAGUGUGUUUCCCCUGCAGUGGGACUGAGGGUGCUCUGCACAAUUGCGACGCAGACUCAGAGCGGACAGAGGGCUGAAGAGGUAAUGACACCAAGAUUGCUGUAAAGCUGUAGAGCAGCCUCAGAAGACCUUAUCAGUCACAGAUGUCUGGGCUUCCGGGUGAGAUGACUGACAUGUCAGAAACUGACUGAUUACAGUCCGGGAAUUAAAGAGACAAGAAAUAUUUUAUCACCCCACCAGGUACUUCUGCUCCAGAAUCAACUUGAUCAACAUUCCAACAAACUUCUUCUGCUAUCAGGCCAUGAACUUCCCUCCCAUGGAAAAAGUCGUAGGACGUCUGUGAACAGACAGGCUAACAGGGAACUGCAACAGGUGUUGAGCAGAGUGAAGGAAAGUCUCCAGCCACUGACAGCAACUGGGUAGCAAAUAAAGGACCCUGCUAACAUA